GAUGAAGAACGUAGUGAAAUGCGAUAAGUAAUGUGAAUUGCAGAAUUCAGUGAAUCAUCGAAUCUUUGAACGCACCUUGCGCCCUUUGGCUAUUCCGAAGGGCAUGCCUGUUUGAGUAUCAUGAACACCUCAACUCUCAUGGUUCGCCAUGAUGAGCUUGGACUCUGGGGGUCUUGCUGGUCUAUGGUCAGCUCCUCUCAAAUAAAUCAGCUUGCCAGUGUUUGGUGGCAUCACAGGUGUGAUAACUAUCUACGCUUGUGGUUUUCCAUCAGGUAACCUUCAGUGAUGGAGGUUCGCUGGAGCUCAUAAAUGUCCCUCCUCAGCGAGGACAGCUUUUUGAACGUUUGAUCUCAAAUCAGGUAGGACUACCCGCUGAACUUAAGCAUAUCAAUAAGCGGAGGA
rnacentral:misc_RNA from 1 species